GACGAACGCUGGCGGCGUGCUUAACACAUGCAAGUCGAACGGAAAGGCCUCUUUCGGGGGGUACUCGAGUGGCGAACGGGUGAGUAACACGUGAGUAACCUGCCCUUGACUUUGGGAUAACUUCAGGAAACUGGGGCUAAUACCGGAUAGGAGCUCCUGCUGCAUGGUGGGGGUUGGAAAGUUUCGGCGGUUGGGGAUGGACUCGCGGCUUAUCAGCUUGUUGGUGGGGUAGUGGCUUACCAAGGCUUUGACGGGUAGCCGGCCUGAGGGGGUGACCGGCGACAUUGGGACUGAGAUACGGCACAGACUCCUACGGGAGGCAGAAGUGGGGAAUAUUGCACAAUGGGUGGAAGCCUGAUGCAGCAACGCCGUGUGCGGGAUGACGGCCUUCGGGUUGUAAACCGCUUUCGCUAAUGACGAAGCUUUGUGUGACGGUAGUGGGUAAAGAAGCACCGGCUAACUACGUG
rnacentral:rRNA from 1 species